AGAGGACUAUUUAACCCAGUCUUCCUUAGUUGUUGGUGUUGGGAUCAUUGCAUAGGUUUUGAUAUAUAAAAGGACACACACGGGAGACAAGACGAGACUGCCGACGACACAGCCAUUUUUACGGCGCUCCUUACAAAAAGGUACCCCAAGCUCCUCUCGCUGAAGACGUCUCUGAGGAACACCAUGUCCUCCUUGUGGUUGGCGUCGGGCCGCAGCUGUGAGGUCAGCAGGGCCAAAGUUUCGUGGAGCCCUGGCGGGUGGAGAAGGUGGGUGUUACUAACGGCAGGUGAUGGAGGACUCCGGCACUGCAAGUCACCUCACCUGCCCCCGCUGUGAGGACCGGCAUGGCUUCUUUCAUGGAUCAGCCAGUAUCACGCAGCGCCGCUCUGACAAGCCGGCAGAUGGAGGGACACAAAAAAAAAAAGGGAAAUGUGCAGCGAUGGAGGGAUAAAGGAAGCUCCCAUCUGCUGGCGGACAGCUCAUGUUGUUGUAAAGAGGAAAAAAAAUAAUAAUAAUACAAGGAAGCGUG